CAGUAGCCGCGGGAAUACGUAGGGUGCAAGCGUUAAUCGGAAUUACUGGGCGUAAAGCGUGCGCGGGCGGUUCGGAAAGAAAGGUGUGAAAUCCCAGGGCUUAACCUUGGAACUGCACUUUUAACUACCGGGCUAGAGUGUGUCAGAGGGAGGUGGAAUUCCGCGUGUAGCAGUGAAAUGCGUAGAGAUGCGGAGGAACACCGAUGGCGAAGGCAGCCUCCUGGGACAACACUGACGCUCAUGCACGAAAGCGUGGGGAGCAAACAGGAUUAGAUACCCCCGUAGUCCCUGUCUCUUAUAC
rnacentral:rRNA from 1 species